GACGAACGCUGGCGGCGUGCCUAAUACAUGCAAGUCGAACGCUUCUUUCCUCCCGAGUGCUUGCACUCAAUUGGAAAGAGGAGUGGCGGACGGGUGAGUAACACGUGGGUAACCUACCCAUCAGAGGGGGAUAACACUUGGACACAGGUGCUAAUACCGCAUAACAGUUUAUGCCGCAUGGCAUAAGAGUGAAAGGCGCUUUCGGGUGUCGCUGAUGGAUGGGCCCGCGGUGCAUUAGCUAGUUGGUGAGGUAAUGGCUUACCAAGGCCACGGUGCAUAGCCGAGCUGAGAGAGUGAUCGGCCACGCUGGGAGUGAGACACGGCCCAGACUCCUACGGGAGGCAGCAGUAGGGAAUCUUCGGCAAUGGACGGAAGUCUGACCGAGGAACGGCGCGUGAGUGAAGAAGGUGUUCGGAUCGUAAAACUCUGUUGUUAGUGAAGACCGAGUACGUUAGUAACUGAGCGUCCCGUGACGGUAGCUAACAAAAAAGCCACGGCUAACUACGUG
rnacentral:rRNA from 1 species